UACGGAGGGUGCAAGCGUUAUCCGGAAUCACUGGGUUUAAAGGGUACGCAGGCGGUUUGGUAAGUCAGGGGUGAAAUCCCACCGCUUAACGGUGGAACUGCCUUUGAUACUGCCAGACUUGAGUUAGGAGGAGGUGGGCGGAAUGCGACAUGUAGCGGUGAAAUGCAUAGAUAUGUCGUAGAACACCAAUUGCGAAGGCAGCUCACUAUACCUUAACUGACGCUCAUGUACGAAAGCGUGGGUAGCGAACAGG
rnacentral:rRNA from 1 species